CUUUCCCUUCCUCUCCACCCCUCCUAGCUAUGGACUUUGAAGAACCAACAGUAACCCUUGAAUGGGGCUAAUGUUGCUUUCAAAGUUACAUUUGUGUUGCCCCAGAGGCAAAGUGGACUCUUUGCUCCUGGUUUACCUCUGACACGUGGGUGUAACUGAGCUUGGGGUCCCGCCCUACAAAUGUGGAAGCAGACACGGCUUAGUAACGUUGCUGCAGAGUGUGUUUUCCCUGGUUUCUUUAGCAGCCAGCCCUUCCCUGCUCUGGAGCCUCCCGGUGUGGGUAGCCGGCAGGUGGUGCUGAUGGAUGUGCAGUGAUCCCGUCCCCCCCGCGCCCCCCCGGCCAGCCCUGCUCCCCAGCCCCGGCCUCCUGGCUCUCCCUUGCUCUGCACUUCAGUCCUGCUUGCUGCAAACCCCCAAAACCCCCCAGACCAACAUGGUGUGCAGCUGCAGCCUGUGGGAAAGCUGAGGAGCUGAUGGGGGUUGAGGGAUGUGCUGCUGGGGUAGCCUUGAAGUAGAGGUACUGUGAGCAGUGGAGCAGUUUAGUAGCAAUAAUUAAGACUGAAAUAAGCAGGUGAAUAUUGAAAUGAGCUUUGCUUAUCAGUCCCUAAUAAUGACUUUUUAAAACCUUCACAGAAUGUCAGUUCACCUUUGAGAAGGCUAUAGAGUACGUACCAUUCGAAGCUGCUAACUUGUGCCAAACCUCCACUGCUGCUACUACGCCUGUGACUCUUACUACUCCAUUCAAUAUAACGUCCUCUGUGGCUUCUGGGACUAUCACAAACCCAGUCACAGUGGCAGCUGCAAUGAGCAUGAGAAGUCCAGUAAAUGUAUCAAGUGCAGUUAAUAUAUCCAGUCCGAUGAACUUAGGGCAUCCUGUAACUAUAACCAGUCCUCUGUCCAUGACCUCUCCAUUAACGCUCACCACCCCGGUGAACCUGCCCACCCCGGUCACCGCUCCAGUGAACAUAGCACACCCCGUCACCAUCACAUCCCCCAUGAACCUGCCCACCCCCAUGACGCUGGCUGGUCCCCUCAACAUAGCCAUGAGACCAGUGGAGAGCAUGCCUUUCCUGCCCCAGGCCUUGCCCACCUCUCCUCCUUGGUAAACAAGUUCUAAACAGUAUUAAAAAAGGAUUAAAAUGGAAUCCUUACCAGCAGUUCUUUUUUGGGUUUUGUUUGGUUGGGUUUUUUUUUGUUUUGUUUUUUUUUGUUUUGUUUUGUUCUGUUGGGUUUUUUGUUUUGUUUUAGUUAAUAAAUUCAGACUAAGACACUGGGGCAACACCACCAGAGACCAUAGUAGCAUCUUCCCCUUGAUUUGGCUCACAUGGUUCAGGCUUGAGUUUCACUGGAGCACUUCAUUUAAAGUAAGUUUUACCUUGUAGCUGACUGAUGCUGAAUUAGAGCAGAUACUUAUUUGCCA